rnacentral:rRNA from 1 species
AAGUAAAAGUCGUAACAAGGUUUCCGUAGGUGAACCUGCGGAAGGAUCAUUAUCGUACAACGGAGGUGCGAGGGCUGUCGCUGACCCUUGAAGGUCGUGCACGCCCGUGCCCUCUCACAAUCCAUCUCACCCUUUGUGCAUCACCGCGUGGGUCCCCUUUGCGGGAGGGCUCACGUUUUCACAUAAAACUCGAUACAGUGUAGAAUGUUUUUAUUUUUGCGAUCACACGCAACAUCAAUACAACUUCAACAACGAUUCUUCUUCAGUGAAUCAUCGAAUCUUUGAACGCACCUUGCGCCCCUUGGCAUUCCGAGGGGCACACCCGUUUGAGUGUCGUGAAAUCCUCAAAACCCUCUUCUUUCGGGAAAAGGCGUUUUGGACUUGGAGGUUCGAUGCUCGCUUUCGCCUUUGAAAGCGAGCUCCUCUCAAAUGAAUCUAGUGGGGUCUGCUUUGCUGGUCCUUGACGUGAUAAGAUGUUUCUACGUUUUGGAUUUGGCGUCGACGAUGCCCCUGCUUCCAAUCGUCUCAUGGACAACGAUGGUGCUUCCGGUCACCGCCAUCUACAUCGGCGGGAGGCUGGACCCACGAAAAAACCUUGACCUCAAAUCGGGUGAGACUACCCGCUGAACUUAAGCAUAUCAAUAAGCGGAGGAA